AUCUUCACUGGAAACGGUAAAGAGCGCUCUCCCAGCACUCUAAAAAAACCACCUCCACGAGGAGCAUGGCUCCCAGCGCAGGUGCACUGUCUAUAUUGGCACGUUACAGCGCUGUAACUGUCAGCACUCAGGGGGGUGUUUUUUCACACCCCUGAGCGAGAAAGUUGCAGCGCUGUUGCCAGUGUGAA